ensembl:lncRNA
GUUUGGUGCUUUGCUCUCCUUCCUUUGUUGCCCUCCUUUGUGCUCAAAGAGCUCUUCUAUUCAACGUUUUUCCUUCCCUGGACAGUAGUGCACAAUAUUCAGUAGAGAAGGACUGGGCUGAAAGGCAGCAAUUUCUUUUGAACAAGACCAAUGCAUCUGCUCCAUUCCGUGGCCCUGAUGGAACUGAUAACGGAUAACAACAAAUGAUGUUUUUUCUGUAAGUUCUAUUUGUCACAUAUAUUGGUUAGUGAUCAGAGAAUUAACCUGUUGCUAGUUUUGUGUGGUUUUUUUGUUUGUUUGUUUGGUUUGGUUUGUUU